UAUCCAACAGCAUAAAAUAGUUCCCAAGAGCAUAAAAUAGUUCCCAACAGCGCCAGCGCAGGGGGCAAAACAGAGCGACCAAAUGGGGGCACCCUCAGGGGAGUUGCGCUCAUCUGGAGCGAGACGCCAGCCUGGGAAAGCGGAACCCCUUUCCCGCCCCGCCCCGAGGACUCACGCUCAGGUGCAACGCCGAGACUCCCGGGGGAAAGAGAGGUGACCGUCUCGGCGCGACCGCCCACACCUCUUGCUCCAAAUGACCCCAGCACACAGGAGAGGUCCUCUCAGCGUGGGACUCCGUCUCUCCCGAAGGCAGGGAGCACAACGAAGCGGCCACUCGUCUCUGCAGCCGCGCUACCGGCCCGCAGCCUGGCUCGCAGGCAAACAGUCACAGCAUCCUGCCACAGAGAGCUCAGAUUUGUGUUCCACACCAGUCCAGUGUGCUCCCUAACUGCAGGCAGCACUGAUUAAGGUCUUCAAGGGUCUCCUGAAACACUUCCUAGACCUAAUUGAAGGACAAAGCUCUUUUCAAGAGGUGAGAUGUGACUUUUGCCUUCCACCACGACUGUGCCCGGUCUUGGGUAUGUCUUUAUCAGCAGCAGGACAAUGGACUCCUACAGUAAAUUGGUACCAGUAGAGUGGGCGCUGCUGAAAAGAUACCCAAAAAUGUGAAAGUGACUUUGGAACUGGGUAACACGCAGAGGUUGGAACAGUUUGGAGGGCUCAGAAUAAGACAGAAAAAUGUGGGAAAGUUUGGAACUUCCUAGAGACUUGUUGAAUGGCUUUGUGCAAAAUGCUGAUAAUGACAUGGACAAUGAAAUCCAGGUUAAUAUGGUCUCUGAUGGAGAUGAAGAACUUGUUGGGAACUGGAGCAAAGGUGACUCUUGUUUUAGCAAAGAGACUGGUGGCAUUUUGCCCCUGCUCUAGAGAUUUUUGGAACUUUGAACUUAAGAGAGAUGAUUUAGGUAUCUGGCAGAAGAAAUUUCUAAGCAGCAAAGCACUCAAGAGGUGACUUGAGUGCUGUUAAAGGCAUACAGUUUUAAAAGGGAAACAGUAUAAAAGUUCAGAAAAUUUGCAGCCUGACAAUGUGAUAGAAAGGAAAAUCCCAUUUUCUGAGGAGAAAUUCAAGCUGGCUGCAGAAAUUUGCAUAUGUAAUGAGGAGCUGAAUGUUAAUCCCCAAGACAAUGGGAAAAAUGUCUCCAGGGCAUGUUAGAGGUUUUCACGGCAGCUCCUUCCAUCACAGGCCUGGAAGCCUAAAAGGUGAGACUUGCCUUUCUCCUUCUGCCAUGAUUGUGAGGCUUCUUCAGCCACGUGGAACUGUGAGUCAUUAAAUCUCUUUCUUUUGUAAAUCACCCAGUCUUGGGUAUGUCUUUAUCAGCAGCAUAAAAUGGACUAAUAUUUAAUAUAAUUACUAAUAUAUUUAUGUAUAUUCACAUUGUU
rnacentral:lncRNA from 10 species